UAAGCAUAUCAAUAAGCCGAGGAAAAGAAACCAACAGGGAUUGCCCUAGUAACGGCGAGUGAAGCGGCAACAGCUCAUUUGAAAUCUGGCUCUCGGGCCCGAGUUGUAAUUUGUAGUUGGAUGCUUUUGAUGCGGUGCACUUCCGAGUUCCCUGGAACGGGACGCCAUAGAGGGUGAGAGCCCCGUCUGGUUGGAUGCCAAAUCGCUGUAAAGCUCCUUCGACGAGUCGAGUAGUUUGGGAAUGCUGCUCUAAAUGGGAGGUAUAUGUCUUCUAAAGCUAAAUACCGGCCAGAGACCGAUAGCGCACAAGUAGAGUGAUCGAAAGAUGAAAAGCACUUUGAAAAGAGAGUUAAAAAGUACGUGAAAUUGUUGAAAGGGAAGCGUUUAUGACCAGACUUGGGCUUGGUUAAUCAUCUGGGGUUCUCCCCAGUGCACUUUUCCAGUCCAGGCCAGCAUCAGUUUUCGCCGGGGGAUAAAGGCUUCGGGAAUGUGGCUCUCUCCGGGGAGUGUUAUAGCCCGUUGCGUAAUACCCUGGCGGGGACUGAGGUUCGCGCAUCUGCAAGGAUGCUGGCGUAAUGGUCAUCAACGACCCGUCUUGAAACACGGACCAAGGAGUCGUCUUCGUAUGCGAGUGUUCGGGUGUCAAACCCCUACGCGUAAUGAAAGUGAACGCAGGUGAGAGCUUCGGCGCAUCAUCGACCGAUCCUGAUGUUCUCGGAUGGAUUUGAGUAAGAGCAUACGGGGCCGGACCCGAAAGAAGGUAAACUAUGCCAGUGUAGGGUGAAGCCAGAGGAACUCUGGUGGAGGCUCGCAGCGGUUCUGACGUGCAAAUCGAUCGUCAAUUCAUGGGCAUGGAGCGCGAAAAGACUAAUCGAACCUUCUAGUAGCUGGUUCCGCCAAG
rnacentral:rRNA from 1 species